rnacentral:rRNA from 1 species
ACGGGUGAGUAACACGUGGGAACGUGCCCUUUGGUUCGGAAUAACUCAGGGAAACUUGAGCUAAUACCGGAUGAGCCCUACGGGGGAAAGAUUUAUCGCCGAAGGAGCGGCCCGCGUCUGAUUAGCUAGUUGGUGAGGUAAAGGCUCACCAAGGCUACGAUCAGUAGCUGGUCUGAGAGGAUGAUCAGCCACACUGGGACUGAGACACGGCCCAGACUCCUACGGGAGGCAGCAGUGGGGAAUCUUGCGCAAUGGGCGAAAGCCUGACGCAGCCAUGCCGCGUGGAUGAUGAAGGUCUUAGGAUUGUAAAAUCCUUUCACCGGGGACGAUAAUGACGGUACCCGGAGAAGAAGCCCCGGCUAACUUCGUGCCAGCAGCCGCGGUAAUACGAAGGGGGCUAGCGUUGCUCGGAAUUACUGGGCGUAAAGGGCGCGUAGGCGGACAGUUAAGUCGGGGGUGAAAGCCCGGGGCUCAACCUCGGAAUUGCCUUCGAUACUGGCUGUCUUGAGUGCGGGAGAGGUGUGUGGAACUCCGAGUGUAGAGGUGAAAUUCGUAGA